CCUCGGAGGUUCAUAGAAGGUAAUGAUCUCGAUCGAUUGCGCUUGGAGGAUCGUUUUGGUUAUCAGAAAUCGAAGCUUGCUCUGAGAUUCACAAUCCUGUUCUUAAUUACUGGCAAUGAAGAACAUGAAGAAGCUUGGAUGUGUUUGAGGGUAUGGAUGUGUCGUUGAAGCAUCUGAGACUCAUCGAAUUUGAGGAACAACUUGGAUUACCUUUUAUUCAUCGUUGUCGAGGGGAUCCAUGGGUUAAUUUUUACUAAAUUCAGUUCGGAUGCUUUGAUAAGAGAUCUCUCGAUUCUUAGUUCUGAUGGAAGGCUCACUAGAAUUGCAAACAAUAAUGCUUCAUCCGGAAGAUUGCUUGCUACAGAGUGCAU